rnacentral:rRNA from 1 species
UACGGGGGGGGCAAGCGUUGUUCGGAAUUACUGGGCGUAAAGGGCGCGUAGGCGGCCUUCUAAGUCGGACGUGAAAUCCCUCGGCUUAACCGAGGAACUGCGUCCGAUACUGAAAGGCUUGAAUCCGGGAGAGGGAUGUGGAAUUCCAGGUGUAGCGGUGAAAUGCGUAGAUAUCUGGAGGAACACCGGUGGCGAAGGCGGGUCUCUGGGCCGAUACUGACGCUGAGGAGCGAAAGCGUGGGGAGCGAACAGG